AGUAUACAUGAACUUCUAAUUGGUCACUUCAAGUCCGAAAUAAUUAUCAGCCAAUCAGCGCUCUUUGCUGAUUUUCCUUCUUUCUUUUUCCUGGCGUCGAUUCUGGGGAUCGCACGGAUAUUUCGUGAUCCCGUGAACCUCAGGUUUCCGAGCAUUGGGAGGGUCCAACACGAAUACGCAUACCUAACCUUAUUGUUGUGUUCACUUUUUAUCUUCAUAUUUGUCGAGGUAAGUCUAUCUCUUAUUUUUAUAACGUAGAAAAGUGUAAUAGGAAGAGUAUGAGAAAAAGCAAGAAUGUGGAAGAAGGAGAAUAA
rnacentral:lncRNA from 1 species